GGAAGGGCUGUAACUCAAUGGUAGAGCAUCUGUUUUAUAUGCACAAGGUCCCAGGUUCCAUUCCUGGCCUCUCUA